AGUCUGGACAGUGGGUGGAGCUGGGCCUCUAGCUCGGGAUGGCUUCUGGCAAGUGAUCAUCGUCUCUCUGAGGUCUCUCUGGCUGGCAUUCUGUUUUCCCAGAUAUGGCUACGUGUCCGUUUCCAGCACCUGUUCCUGAGUCAGGCCUUGAAGAUUUUGCCGGCUUUACUUCCUGGGCCUCCCUUGUAUGAACUCGCCAUUCCAGAUGGGACAGUUCCUUAACAUGCUGGGUUCCUAUACCACUGAGGCUUGCUUUACUCAUGAGGAUCCACUCUCCAGAGGCCUUCUCUGCAUCACCACCAGACUGUAUGCAUGUGACGGGUUUGACUGAUCCAGGAUAAACUUGGCCAGAAGGGAGGGCUCCAGGCUGCGUUGGCUGCAGGCUGGUUCCCCGUGUGCAUCCUAGGGCUGGGCUGAGGUGCCGGUGUCUCUCCUGGCGGCUGGCUGCAAUAGCCAGGGUCAAGCCCAACUGCGUGGGCGUGUGGAAGACCUCUGUCCAAGUCAGUUUUGUUAGCGUCACCUUCACCAAGGCGAGUCACCCAGAUACACCCAACAUCAGUGAGGGGAGAAAGAAUAUUCCAUCUGCUGUCAUUCCCAGCAUUGAAGCUCUAGACUUUUCUAGCUCCUCACCCAGCAUUUGUGUCAUGUCAUGUCUCUGGGCUUUGGUCUAGAAUGUCUGUUAAUUGUAACAUCUGCACGUCAACUUUUCCAUCAGAUUGUACCUUGGAAUGCAGGGGCCUCACUUGGUCCGUUUCUAUGUCCCCAGCCUCCCAGUAUGGGACCUGACACAGAAGGAGUGCUCAGAAACUCCUUGUUAAACAAUGAGUAAAUAAUUGAAUAAAUGAAUGGCCAAUGUCUGGGCCCUUUGGGUUUGUAUAUGCUCACUUGCCUCCCUGCCUGGACCCAUUGGGAUAUAGUUCAAAGCCUUGUGUCUAGGUUCCAGUAGAUCUAAGACACACUGAAAAGGGUCAAAUACCCUUAACUCAUCAUCUGUACUUAUAGUUGCAAUUUGAGUUCAUACCAUACCUAGGACAUCAGAGAUUCCUUAGUUCAACUGCCCCCUUGGGUGCAGAAGCAAUGUCUAUUCAUCUUUGAUCUCCAGGGCCCAACACGGGACCUGUUACAGAGCGGGUGCUUGGUAAGUAUUUGUUUUUCCAUCAAUCUCUCUAACACUUCUAUAAAUAUGAAAAUGAAAGCCCAGAGAGGGAACAUGAAGUUCCUGGGUCACACAGGAAGUUUCUGGAUGUCUGGAUUCCAGCCUGGCUCCCCUGAUUCCCAGGAGGUCAGAACCCAAUGGAUAGAAUCUGGCCAAACCCACCAUCUGCAGAAGAGAAUCAUCCAUGGGCCACCAGUUGGUGAGGCUCCUCCGGUUUCUUAACACAGACCUAAGGUUAUAUGAAGUAGGACUUUACUUAUUCCAAAUUUGUCUCAGAUCAUUGACAGAUCCAACUUUAAAGCCACGAAGGCAAAAGGCAAUUGCUGUGGCUGCAGCAGAGCUGGCUUUGGAGGCUGAGAGACCUGACUUGGGGAAUUAGCAGAAGCACUUGCUGACUACAUGACCUUGCAUAAAUUCCCUGCUUGCUCUGAGCACCAGUCUCCUCCCCCUACUUCCUGCACCAAGGGGACCACAAUGCCUACCUUUCAGGGUUGUAGUAGAGACCUCUGCUAAUGUGCAUUUACCUAGAACAUAUUAAUCAUCGGUGGCCACUCACUUACAAUGACUUUGUGUUUCAGACUGUGCUUCAGAGCUGGCCCGCAAGCACCAGCCGUCACCUCUGGAGAUGGUUUGCCCUUACAAAGACUCCCAGUCUCGAUGCCCUGCCACCCUGGUAUUUUAACAUUCACAGUGCCACCGCUUGCUGUGAACAGCCACUGACCAUAAAGUUUGACAUUUUGAAGAUUAAAGUGCUUUGAAUUAGUCAUGCACAUGUGAUGUCAUUGUUCCUUCUUGUCCUGCUCUGGAAUCUAAAA